CAAAACUUAAAGUCUUAUCCAAAGCAUCUGCUUUUAGAAAAAAAAAUAAAAAUAAAAAUAAAAAAAAUCUAGAAUACAACAAUUAUUAUAUUGCUAAUAUAUAGGGCGUGUUUGGUUCGCUUCUUUUUUACCAUGGAAUCGGAAUGGGAAUGAGUGAAUCCAUUUGUUGGUGUUUGGUACGUGAAAGUCCCAUUCCAAUUCCGAUUCCUAAGUGGAAUAGGAAUCGCUCAAUCACCCCUUUUUUCAAUUCGGCCUAGAAAGCCGGAUUGGAAGUUGAAUCCGGACGGAAUGGAUAUUUAUUCGGAUUAAAUUUAUUUUUUCAAUUUUUUUAAUUAAAAUAUGAGUUAAAAUUUAAAAAUUAAAUAUAUAAUUUUAAAUUUUAAUUUGAACUUAAAUUAAAAAUUAAAAUUUAAUCAAGUAUUUCGAGUCUAACUUAUGAAUUUGGAUUUAAAUUAAAUUUUAAUUUAUAUAAAAUUUACUCAAAUUUUAUUUCAAACUUAAAUUAAAUUUAUGAAUUCAAAUUCAAAUUUAAAUUAUAAUUUUAAGUUUGAAUUUGAAUAAAUCAAAAUUUAGUUUCAUAUUUUGAAUUAUCCACUCAACUUCAAAGUUUAAUUUUUUUAAAAAAAAUAGAUUUAAAAUUUUGACAUUAUUUCAAAAUUUUGAUGUAAAUUUUUAAUAUUUAAUAUUUAAUUUGAAUUAAAUUAAUAUAUUAUAAAGAUAAUGUUAGUAUAUUAUUUUAAUUACGUUUUUGUAUCCAUCUGAACCAAACACCAACAAUAGGAAUGAUUUAUUCCGAUUUCGAUUCAGGUGAUGAACCAAACAGAAUUAGAUAAUGAGUCAUUUCGAUUCUGAUUCCAGCUUAUUUUGAUUCCGAUUCCGAUUCCGACUCCGACUUCGAACCAAACACGCCCAUAGUAUUUUCAACCAAUCAAAUAACUUUUUAAAUUUAUUCAUUCUAUCAUAAUUUUUUUAAAAAUAUUUUUAUUUAUUCUAUAUUUUUCUCUC
rnacentral:lncRNA from 1 species